CCGCUGAGUCCCGCGGGCUGCGUGGAGUUUACGGACUAGUGUCUGGGGCGACGCUGAUUGGGUCACCGGGUUCACAGCACCAAAUAGGAGUGAGAAUUGCCAGCGCGUCAUCAGUAUCCGGGCAGAAGGACCUGACACAGAAGUCAGACCCUGGAGUCUUCUAGAAGAAAAGUGACUUCCGGGAAUACAAUCACAACACAAGCCUUGUGGAUGCAGUGGAGAGACGCUUCUCCUUUAAGAGGAGGCGCUGGCCUGCAAGCCCCACCCGAACCCCACAGAGACCAGGCUCUGUUCACCUGCAUGGGCAGCUCACACUGCCAAGCCUGAGUGCAGGACUCUCAUCUGUAAAGAGGAGACUUUGCCUCUUCCCUCAGGAUCUGUCUUCUGAAACUCGGGUUUAGACCCAGACUCCUUGCGUUUAUUCCCAGAAGAUGCAUCUGUGGCUCCAGAUGGGUGCGUUUUACAAGGAUCUUCAUUCCGAGUCCUGAGAUUUUUCAUGUGGACCCGGGUAGUUGUCUCAGCACAGGAGACCCCGUUGUCCACAGGGAAGAGACCAUAGGUAUGGAGACCACAGACAGCACAGCACCCUGUGCUACAGUGCACUUCCCUGUGUCCACACUUCCCCUGUGCAGCUGCUUUAGUGACUAAAUCACGGUAGGAGGGGACCUGUAAUUAACUAUACCACAGAAUAAUGAGAGAGUGUGGGAGAAGUUAUCAAUCUGUGACCUCUCACUCCCUCUCUGACCUUCACUCACACUUAGGAGCUGAAGGGGUGAGGGACAUGAAUGUGUGGGACAGUGGAUCUGAUAACUGAGUUGGGGCCCCAGAGUUCCUCAGGCCUGAGCAGUGUGGACAUUGGAGGGAAGAUGAUUCUCAGGUCAGAGAGCACACGCUGGUGAUGUGAGGUUUCAUCCCUGGUCAGUAGUGUGGAGAAAGAUUAAAUUUACACGUUUGUUCAUUCUGUGGAUCUCUCCAAAUCACAGCCAUAGAACUGAAGUGGAAAGAAGAGGAGAGAUGGGUGGGGGCUCCUGAAGAGAGUCACCCAUCACACAGAGCAACAAAUGUGGGUGAGCACAGGUGUGAACUCCAGUCCCCUCCCCAUGCAGGUCUCCACAGCAGCCCAGCAGCCUCUCCAGGAUUGAGGGGCUCCUGUUUCAGUGAACCACCCUUAUUAGGUGCUGUGAGUGUUUUCCGUGGGAACUUGAAGCUCUUAGGUUCCAUCCUGACUGACCUGAGGAUGCAGUUGGGGUAGGCAGCCCCACAGAAAGGAUCUGUCCCUGUUACUUUUCUUCUUAUUUAUUCUGUUUUUUGAGACAAGGUCUGUCUGCACUGCUCUGGCUGUCCUGGAACUCACUAUGUAGACCUUCCAGAGAUACAUGGCCUUUGCAUCCUGAGGGCUGGGUGUCUUAGUUUCCCUUUCAUUGUUGUGUGCGCUCUAUGCCCAAGCUGCAGUGUAAGUAUCCAGCCAUGCCAUGGGAAAGGGUGACUUGAGAAGCCAGGCAUGCUUUGUGGCCACCGAGAUUCACUGGCUAUGCAUAGCUGACACCUGUCUGCAGACAUUCAUGUCUCAGCCAGUUUCAGAGCUGUUUCCACGUAGAGGGGCGAGAAUUCAUGUUUUGUUUUGUUUAUUUUAUGUUCUAUUUGUUUUCUUCCUUCAUUUUUGCAACCAAGAUUUUCAGGGGGUCUCCCCUGGUCAAAUGUAAUAUUUAUUAAUUUUGAGGGAAGUUAUAGCUUUUCUUCUCUUGUUGAAAGAAAGGCAAAACAUCUCCCUGAACUCAACACACGUCCCUCCUUCUAUUCUGAGGUUCUCACAUAUAUCUGCUGAUCUGACCCAGCAGUCCUUCCUCAACUCCAUGUUUUUCAGGGCUGUGUUUCCUGUCUCUAGUCCUACAACCAGACUUCAGACAAAGUAGAUUCCAGGAGGCGAGGUCGAGUUCGUAGUCCAUGAGGAGGAGCCUCUACUUCUGUGCACACAUGUGAGGAGCUUGACAGGUUUGCUAAUUCACUAAGCAGAAGUCUGGGGAAUGUGUGGGAGUGGAAUUUGAGGGUGUGGGAUAAUGACGGAAGGAACAUAAAAUUGAGUCUGGGUGAGUUUUUCAGUAUGGGAACACUGACUGGACAUUGGACUUUAAUAUGUGAUUUUAACCUUUUAAAAAGGUGAAAAAGGUUUGUCUGAAGGGUUGGCUGAAGUGUUUAUCAAAAGAAGGUCUACUGAAAAGGGGUUGAAGAUUCAUUGACAGCCCUACCUGACACCUGACCUGGGAGACAGUAGAGCCAGGAGGAGCUGACUGAGCAGAGAGGCUAGAACAACUGUCACAGUCUGGAGCUACUGUAAUUGGGACAUCUGGGAGAAGGGACUGUUUAAGUGCAGUGUUGGAAAUUGAGGGAGGAGUUGGGAGAAACGUUAGAGGGGGCUAGGCUGGAAGAUGGAAGGAACAGUUGGAAAGAAAUUAGAUUGACAGCUCUCUCCCUCUUUCUCUCUCUCCUGCUUCUUUCCUCUCUAGUCAUAGGGGAUAAAACCAGGAGGACAAAGGGUGGGGAAAAAAGAACCAACAAAGUAAGGAAGACCAGCUACAUGGCUCUCUGUGUAUCCCUGGCUGCCCUGGGACUCACUCUGUACCCAAGGCUGGUCUUGAACUCACAGAUCUGCCUGCCUCUGGGUAUGUACAACCAAGGCUCAGGAAAUAUUCUUAAUCAAAUCACCACAGAAGCCUACUGAAGUUUUGUUUGGUCACAUAAGUGGGAAAAUGGUCAACAAAUGAGAGAAAGGCUACAUACUAGUGGCCAAAGAGCAUCUCAUCCCAUGAAUCAGUUUCUAACCUUGAGACAGUUUGCAGAUGCAGAACUCCUUGAAUGAAGGAAUGGCCAGGUUACCCUGAGUAAGUACCUUAUAAAACAUCUAAAAUGUAUACUGCUAGCCUUUCUCCAGUGCUUUCCUAGUGGGACCUACAGGAGACCCAGGGUAACCAUACCCUGGGGAGAAGAACUAAUCAGACUUACCAGGCUCUAUUGCAUAUUAGCCCAAAUUAAUGCUGACUCCAGGAGCUCCGAGGAAACUUUACGGUUCUUCAGUCAGAGUAGAGUGUUAUGGAGGGCCAGGGAUUAAUGAGGUUUUGGCUGAAAUCUGAAUCACAUCAGGCCCAGUGGGUUCCUGAAUUCAUCCUGUGGUUAUUUUUCCAGUCCCAGAAGGUAGAAUUGGGAUACAUGUACUUAGAGGUUGUCAGAAUGCUCACACUGGUUCCCUGACCUGUGGACUGAGGGCUAUCAUGGUUGGAAAGGGUAACUGGAAGCCUUGAGAGUUCCCUCUGCCUAGGAAAAUAGUGAAUCAAAGACAGCAACACAUCCUUGUAGAAAUUUGAGAAAUCACUGGCACCAUCAAUUGUCAAGUCAUUCUCACAGUCAAUCUGUCUUGCUCUGCACUGGCCUCAUAGGAGAUGUAUAGGGAGAUGUGGUCAGAACAACUUUUGAUUCUGGUAACAUAUGUAUGCUUCAGAGGGCUGAAAAUAAAGCCUACCAAAUAUUCAAAUCCUUUUAAUUCAGUGAAAUUAAGGAAUCCAGUGGAUGGAGCAGGCACAGACAUUCCAUCCAAGAUGAAGGGAAGGCUCCUGACCUGGCCCCUCCUACCACCAAGAAAGGAGCACAGGGCUUAAUUGUGUCUUUGGAUUCUGCAGACAGCACAUCCCUCACUUGGAUCUGUUACUCUGGCCCAUAAGCCUUCUGAAUCAGAGAGCUGCUAACUUCCUGUGGGUCCUGGGACAGGUGAAGACUCUUCAACAGGUCCCGGCUGUGGUUCAGCUGCUCCAACAUCUUGGACCAUAUGAUCCAGCAGACCUGAUGGUACUUGAGGCAUAAGUGACAGAGAAGGAUGUUGUUUUGAGGAUUUGGCAGGCCUCUGUGAGGGAAUCACAGAAGAGAACUUUGGGAUUUUGGAGCAAGGCUCCAACAUCAUCUGCACACAACUAUUCCCCCUGUGAGAGACAUCUCCUGGCCUUGGUGCAACCUGAACAUUUGACAAUGGGCCACCAAGUUACCUGUGGGUCACAUGUGACCUGGGCUGCCUAUAAUGGGCUGGAUGUUAUCUGACCCACAAAGUCAUAAAAUAGGACACACACAGCCCUGAGCUGUUAGCGAAUAGAAGUGGUAUAAACAUCAUCAGGACUGGACAGGUCCUACGGGCACAAGGAUGUUACAUGAAGAAUUUGCCCAACUGCCUCCUGUCUCUAGUCCUGUUACAAUGUCAUCUGCAGCCAAGCACGCACCUGCAGCCUCAUGAGCUGUGCCUUAUCCUUGGAAGACUGAGGAAGAAGAGACGAGGGCCUGUCUUGCUGAUGGCUGUGCAUGUUAUGCAGGCCCCACCAGACAUGGACAGCUGCAGCAUUACCACCCCUUGCCUGGAGAACCCAAAGAUCAAUUCCUAAACAGGUCCAUUUUCUCUGGAUCCUAAUACCCAUUUUUUCCCACUACCUUUAGUGGGUUGUGGGCUUGAAGGGAGGUUAAAGCAUUUAAGAGACCACAUUAAAGUAAGAUGAGAAAAAUAUAACAUUACAGUGCCAUCUCUGUGGAGCUGCUGGGCAAGGCAGGAGAGGAGGUGCUGGCACUAUGGACAACUCUCGUGAGACAGCUCCUGGGGUGGGAGUUUACCAAGACUGUAGGCUGAGGCAGGAAAGGAGUCACCAUUGUGAAUAGCCUCUCCUGACAGCAAUAGGCUGAGGCAGGACAGGCGAUGCCCAACCAUGGACAGCUCCUGUAGACAGGGCCUCUGCCUAAUAUUAGGAAUGAAACAGCAAGUUUUGACAGCUCCUGUCGGGGCAUAUCACUGCAGGCUGGGGCAGAAAGAAGCGAUUUGCUGCACCUUUGAUGGAAUUUGCAGCUAACAGCUUAGAGUGUACAGAAUUGAACAUUGUUUGAAAAUAAAAUGCACAUUUUACAAGUGGUGCCAAAUGUGGGGCGAUGCAGAAUGGGGGGGGGUAUUUCAAGUUCCUUAGAACAAAAGGCAGGAAAAGGAGGAGUGGAUACUUUGUUUCAAAAAGCCAACAGGGUGCUUACUGAGGCUGUUCUUGGGUCCUGCCCUGUACAGUUUUUAGCAGCCAUAUUUUUUCUCCUUUUUCUCAUUUUGUGCUAUUUUGUUUAUAAGAAGUUGAAAGAUUGUUGCUUAUCCAAGGAUUGAUAGGUUUCUUGUUUAAGUAUUGGUGGGUUUUCUGGGAAGUUCAGGGGCUGGUGGUUGGGGGGGGGAUUCUUUUUCUUUGUUGUUGUUUUUCCUUUUGCUUUCUGAUUUUUUGUUUUGUUUUGUCUUUUGUUUGCUCAGGGAUUGAUAGGUCUUUUUUCCUUUUCUUUCUUUCUUUCUUUCUUUUUUUUUUCAGAUGCACUACCUUUCUCUGAACUGGGCCGAUGGGUUCAGAUAAGAAGUCCUUCCUGGCUGCAGGCAGCUUUGCUGUGGUGCCCUCUCUGUGGAGUUGCUGGGAGAGGCAGGAGAGGAGUUGCCCCCAACAUGGACAGCUCCUGUGGGGAGCUCCUGCUUCGGAAAAAAGCAAAUGAGCCACCCUGGACAGCUACUGGGAUGUCUUCAGGCUGAUGAGAGGCCUUGGUGUAGCCAUUUCCACAAGAGACACAAAUUUUGACAGUUCCUGUGAGGGCAUCUUAAAGCUGAGACAAGAAGGUGGGGCCUGGCGCUGGUUUGACCGAUUUUGCCGAGCACUGCUUAGGAACUACAUGGUGUAGUUUGGAGCCGCUGGUAUUGGGAAAACUGGGAGAAGGGACUGUUUGACUAGACUGUAGGAGAAUUGUGGGAGGAAGGGUUGGGAGAAAUGUUUAAAGAGGCUGGGUUGGAAACAGGCAGGAAAAAAGGAAUGGAUACUUUGUUUCAAAAAUCAACAUUUGUGUUUUCUAAGGCUUUUCUUGGGCCAUGCCCCACAUGUAUUUCCACGUCAGUUUUCUUUUCCACUCUCCAUCAUUUGGGGCUAUUAUUUAUAAAACGGAGGAAAGAUUUGACUGAGGAACUGGAAUAAAUAUGGGAAGAAAUGGAGAAGCUUGGGAUUCAAAACAUGGAGGGAAAAAGGAAAACAGGAGGGUUCCUCUCUCUCUUCUGAGAAGUAGCAGAGUUGGCUGUGCAACUGGAGAAACUAACAGAGGUAGAAGAUUGCAAAAUGUCAAACACAAGAAAAGGGAGAACCAAUAGGCUCAUUCCCAGUGACUAGAGCAGAGAGAGGGAGUUUCCCCCAGGUAGAAAGAGAGGAAGAACCUGGGUCAGUGGGCAGUCAGGUCAAAGUGGAAAGCAGGAGGAUGGUCAGAGGAGACUGCCAUGUUUCGUGGACAGGGAUAAACCCACAGCACCUUUUGAGGACAGGCUGUCCUGGGUCACAGAAUCACCAACAGCAUUCCAAGUAGUUCCACCACAGCAUAUGCUUGUUAAGGGAGAUAAUCCACCCACACGGUUAUGAAAAUACAGGAUGGGGUGCUGUACACAUGAUGGACCUAAGGCCUUUUAAAGACACAAUGGUGUCCUAAGGAAUGCUCUUUUCAUAUGUGAAACGAACUCUAAAUAUUUAGACUACUUAGAAUUGAACUAUUCCCCAAGACUGAGGAGGAUUGGUAACAGCUGUAGCAGAGGCUGGACCUCAGUGGUAAUGGUUGCCAUGAUGGAGAGAAGAAGCCAGGAAUGUGGAAGAGCACAGAGGAGGAGGGGAAUUAACACAGCUCAGGUCCACUUGAUAGGGGCUCUGCGCUGCUGUACAGGAACAGGGCAACUUGAGGAUCCAAUCUCAGAACAGUGCUGCUUAGCAGCUUUAAGGGCUGGGAACGGAGUGGAGGAGCCAGGACGGAAGUCCACAUCACUUAGAAAAAUUAUGCAAGUCUCAGGGGAAGCCUUCACUGACUUUCUUUUUUCUUUUGCAAGGAUUAGUUUCAACUGUGCACAAAGCCAUGUCAGACCCUGAUUCCAGACAAGUGCUCUCUGAGACCUUAGCAUCUGAAAAGUCUUCACCUGUGGCCAGCAGCUCUGCACGGUUACCCUGAGGACCCUGGCUAUUUCCAGUUCCCUGGGUGUAGCCUAGCCAUGGAGGCCCACAGUCACUCAGCAGCUCGAGAUGUUGGGAGGAGGUCGGCAUGCGAGUAGACUGUGAAUGGACACUUCCUGCAUUCAGGUCGGCAGCUAGUGCUUUGGUGGCAAGGCCAAGGCUCCCAAGUCCGCACACCUGUCCGAGCGCCUGCCAGGAACCAGUGCACUUUGUUUUGUAGCCUUCUUGGGCCACCAGGGCAACUAUGGCUGUCCUCACGCUGCCACAUUACAUCAGGCAGACACCAGGUGCGGCUCACGGGAGGCCACAAACUUUGAGCCCAGACAGGGCUGGGCUGUACACUCUAUGUACAAUGCAUCCACACAAUUAACUUACAUCCGAUUGAUAAGGGUAUUAACCACCCACGUAGAUAAGAUAAACCUGUCUACAGAAAUCCAUCCCUGAAGAAAUAUUCAUAACAACCUGUGUCUACAUAAAGAUACGUGGCUAGGAUCAUUUACGUCUGCCUCCAUGUUGCUUCUCCCUUUCUGCUCCCUGUCUUCUUCCCCAAUGAGAGGCCUCAUUUGAUCUUGUGUCUGCCUUCACCUGCAUACAUGGCCAAGAUCUGCAAUGUUGGCAAUCACGAGGCCUUCUCAGAGAAGAGAGCCAGGAAGGAGAAAGGAUAUCAUGAAGACAGAGAGGUUUAAUGCCCCUUUUAACUGUCUCCAUAGACCUCAUGUUGGCUUAAUGCUUGUCCCAUAAUCAGACUCUAUCACUCACCUUCGUUUCGGCUGCAGCAGGCGCCCAUGGCAUGCGAUGGUAUUUCUACAUACAACCC